AAGCUUAACGUGUUUUAUGUUGAUAAUGUUCUCUCUUUUUACAUUCAGUCUAAAAAGUAUGUUCGACAGUCCUCAAUUCAAGGAGAACCUAUCAUCCUUCCAGAAACUUCUUGCAGAAGGAGUUAUUGAUAACUCAUUGUCUGGCGUGAAAGCAGAAGAUUGUAUAACUUUGAAGAAACUUGCUUUAUGCAAUUUGACAAAAUCGAAGUGGGUGGAACAAUAUAAUUUACUUAAGGUCUGAACCAAUUACAUGAGAAUUAUCUUGUUUUUGGUAAAAGUACACAAGUCGUGGAUUGAAGUUAUUCUCUUCGAAUUUUGUUGUUAACGUGUAGGAUGUAAAAGGAAAAAAUUGUAUCUAUGGUUCUGAAGCGGCAGGAGGACUCAGUGCAGUUGUAACUGGUCAUUCAGUUAACGUAAAAAGAUCAAGAGAUGGACAGCAUCAAAAGUUUUCAGGUAAGACAUUUUCUCAUAGAUGGAAUAACUGAAAUGUUUUAGUUUUCUAGGCAUGUUUCUGCAUGAAAGAUAUUAUUUAACUUAAAAUAUAAUGGAUGAUAAUUUUAAGAAUAAAUAAAUUGCUCCUACGCAAAAGGAAGCUCGAUAGGUCUGAGAAUUUAUUUCCCUUUGGCGAAUAAUGCUAUUUGCCUGUGCAGUUUGACCAAAGG
rnacentral:lncRNA from 1 species